AAGACUAUAUUUUCAGGGAUCAUUUCUAUAGUUACUAACUAGGAAAUGUGAUUGAAAAGUGAUACGUCUCUCUAAUCACGAUGACGAGUCACGAUGUGUUUUUUCUGAGUGUGAAUCGGAUUAUAGGUAACACUUCAUAUGUAGACUUUUAUUAUUGAUGAACAUUCUUCAUUUCUUAUGAAACAUUAGAGGAAGAGCACAUGUCCAGAGUGAU